CAAGGUAUGAGAUAUUGGUGCGGUUCAAUUAGAAAGCCGUUGCUCUGUAUAUAGCAAGAGCUCGGUUAUUUGAUUGAGCCGUGCCAAUAUCACUUACUAUUGU
rfam:Erythranthe guttata cultivar DTN x IM62 scaffold_4_contig_62, whole genome shotgun sequence.